GUCUGUGUCCAUAUCACCCUGAAUGCCUGACCUUGGAAGCUAAGCAGGGCUGGGCUGGUUAGUACUUGGAUGGGAGACACAGCUGUUCCCUAAAUUUUUACUGAAUGAAUUAAGGGGUUGUAGAGC
rnacentral:rRNA from 1 species